UUUAAUUCAUAUAGGUUGCAUUUCUGUAAAUAUUGACAAUGCAAUUUCCCAUAGGAACUCCUUUUACGGCUAAAACUGUACCACUUUUACUAUGAAGUUUUGAAAAAAUCUUAUCCUAGAAUUGAAAGUUCAUAUGCACCACAUUUUUUUUCAAAGGUCAAAAUAUAGGGCUGUGCGGCAUAUUUUCAACGUUUAUAUGCCCUGAACUUCUCAGAGUUUAAACUUACACUAAUUUUCUUAACUACCCCUACCUCGAAUGAAAGGUUACCACAGAUUUCAAUGUAAACAAUAUGCACGUGUUUAUUUACUGGUAACAUUCCCAAGUUCUGUCUCUGCGAUAUGGAACACAGGGAGCAUAACUGGGAACCAGUAUGUAAACAAAAUCAAUUUUCUAUGAAUAUUCAAUUACUCCCCAAAAGAGGCGUGUUUUGAGAAACAGCUGUAUUUACAAAGUGCAACCUAUACAGACAUUU
rnacentral:lncRNA from 1 species